rnacentral:rRNA from 1 species
GAUGAACGCUGGCGGCGUGCCUAAUACAUGCAAGUCGAGCGGAAGGACGAGGAGUUUGCUUGGCUGAUGUUAGGGGAGGAGGGGUGAGAAACACGAGGAUAACGUACCUAUAAGAGUGGGAUAACUAGGGGAAAGGGGAGAUAACAGGGGAGGAGAUUUUGCAGCGCGUGGUUCGAAGGUGAGAGACGGUGGUGGGGGAAGUAAUAGAGGGUUCCGAGCUGCAUUAGCUAGUUGGUAAGGUAAAGGCCUACGAAGGCUAGGAUGCGUAGCCGACCUGAGAGGCUGAUCGGCCACACUGGAACUGAGACACGGUCCAGACUCCUACGGGAGGCAGCAGUAGGGAAUCUUCCGCAAUGGGCGAAAGCCUGACGCAGCAACGCCGCGUGUGUGAUGAAGGUCUUCGGAUCGUAAAACUCUGUUAUUAGUGAUGAACAGCUGUGUCAUUAACUGUGGCCAUCUUGACGGUACCUAAUCAGAAAGCCACGGCUAACUACGUG